rnacentral:sRNA from 1 species
UAUUCUGCCCCAUGGGGAAGGAUGAGAAGCUUCGACUAAAGUUCGACUCGAGCGAAGCGAGAGAACGUUGCCGCAGGCAACGGCCCGAAGGGCGAGGCGCUUUAGCGCCGAGUAAUCCUUCCCCCACCACCA